GUUAAAAAGCUCGUAGUUGGAUUUCUGGGAGGGUGCCGCCGUCCGGCGUGUCCGUGUGCAGUGGCGCCCUUCCAUCCUUCUGUUAGCGUCUCUUGGCAUUCAUUUGCUGGUGGCGGGCUCAGAUAUUUUACCUUGAGAAAAUUAGAGUGUUUCAGGCAGGCUAGGCCGGAAUACAUUAGCAUGGAAUAAUGGAAUAGGACUACGGUCUCUUUGUUGGUUUGAGGGACUGCAGUAAUGAUUAAUAGGGAUAGUUGGGGGCAUUAGUAUUUAAUUGUCAGAGGUGGAAUUCUCAGAUUUGUUAAAGACUAACUUAUGCGAAAGCAUUUGCCAAGGAUGUUUUCAUUAAUCAAGAACGAAAGUUAGGGGAUCAAAGACGAUCAGAUACCGUCCUAGUCUUAACCAUAAACUAUGCCGACUCGGGAUCGGGGGCGUGUUCUAUCCGCCUUCGGCACCGUAUGAGAAAUCAAAGUCUCUGGGUUCUGGGGGGAGUAUGGUCGCAAGGCUGAAACUUAAAGGAAUUGACGGAAGGGCACCACCAGGCGUGGAGCUUGCGGCUCAAUUUGACUCAACACGGGAAAACUUACCAGGUCCAGACAUAGUGAGGAUUGACAGAUUGGUAGCUCUUUCUUGAUUCUAUGGGUGGUGGUGCAUGGCCGUUCUUAGUUGGUGGAGUG
rnacentral:rRNA from 1 species